GGCGUCACCGUAGGGAGGCGGCGAGCGUCCCCGGAAAGCUGCAGGAGCGGGGCUCCGGAGCCCCGAGCCGCGCGACCCGGUGCUCCGUCAGCGAAGCUGUGUGACCUUGGCCGAGUCGCUUGGCCUCUCUGAGCCCUGGGCGCCGCCGCGGAACCUGAGGGUUCCUCGGAGCGGAAAGAUCUCAGGGCCCUCCAGCACUGAGGGUCCCUCCAAUCCAGCCCAGCCAGGCUGUGAAGCCCCCAAGUGAUGGUGUCAAGCUGACCUGUGUUCCGGUCCCAGGUACAGCCAGCUCUGUGACCUUGGCCACUCACUCAAGCCUCCAUGUGUAAAAGGAAGCCAGGACCCCACUCCCAGCUGGCAGUGGAGGUCAGAGGUGCGAACAGAGGGCCCAGACAGCUGGGACAGCUGAGCCACAAGUACCAGGAUCAAGGCCCCCCAACUCUUGACUGCCUUCUUGCCACUUUUUGCUGUGCGAUGUGCUGUGGAAUGUGUGUAAUGGCCAGAAUGGUGUUGUCCCCCAAAAGGUCAUGUCCACCCAGAACCUCAGGAUGUGAAUUUUUUUGGAAAUAGGGUCUUUGCAGAUAUACUUUAGGUAAGAAUCAAAAUGAGAGUGUCCUUUGUAAUAGGAAACAACAAGCAGAGACUCAGGGAUGGGGGACGCCAUUGAAAACAGGCAGAGGUUUAGAGCCAGGGCAUGCCUGGAGCCAUCAGGAGCUAGAAGAGGUAGAAAAGACCCUCCCCUAGAGCCUGUGGAGGGAGCACAGCCCUGCGGACCUCUUGCCUUUGGACGUCUGACUGCAGAAGAACAUUUCUGUCAUGUGAAGCCCCCGGUCUGCGGUCAUUUGUCAUGGCUGCCCCUGGACACUCUUACAGCGUGAUUUCCCCUCACUCCAGCGCAAUUUAAUUCAGCUCCGCGGAUAGUGAAUCGCUACCCUGCAGGACUAGACCCCACUAAGGACUUGGGGGCCUCCAAGAGGAAUGAGACCCAGCUCGUCCACUUUAAGGAACAGACGGCCUAGACUCCUGUCUCCAAAGCAGAUGGCCACCCAUCUGCGGGAGCUUUCUCUUCGCAUACUGUUCCCUUUCCCAGGAAGCAGCUAGGAGCCUCCUGGAGGGGAGAGUGGACGACGACCUGCCAGUCCCUCCCAGUGUUGUCCCUCAGGCCUGGCCGUGGGGCUGUGGUUCUCUUAGCCAGCCGCUGUUCUCCCUCCCACCUAGGGCUCCUUCCCUAAAACAGCCUCCAGCUCCGGGCUGUUUGGAGCUGGUUCUGUCCCCUCUCUCUGCAAAAGGUGAUCCCUGGCUUCAGGUGGGAUUUGAACAUUCCUCCACCUCCUACAAAGUGGAGGGCCUGAGGAUCCAUGGGAGGAGGCUGGGGAGGUGGGGCGCAGUGUUAAGUCAGAUGGUGGGGCCUUCCUCCACACAGUCAAAGGGGUUGCAGGUAAAAGGGAAGCAGGCCAUGUGUUCAGACAAGGAGAGAUGCCCGGUGAGACGCUGAGUGGGACAGCAAGUUCACUCCCAGGAGUGAACAUACCUGCAACGUGCCUAACUCAGGCCAGGCAUCAACGGUGCCAUGGGCCCUGCCCUCGGGAGCUCACGGCGUAGGUCUAGGGCAGAACAGUAGGUCUGUCUACGUUUUCCAUAAAGCUGGAACGGAGUAUAAAUUAAUACUAUUUUUGAGAAAGAGAGCGAGGGAAAGACUGGGAGUUCACCCCAAAUGCCCCAAAGAAACGCUUUUGUAAUGAAGACGUGGUGUGCCUGGAUGACUUCCUGUGUCCGGAGUGGCGACACUGGUGACUUUGCUGCGGAGGCAGGGCCAGGGCUGUGGCCAGGGCUCGGCCACCUGCACCCCACCCCCCGCCCUGUCACCCCACUUCUCCCUUCUCGUUUACAACCCAGCCCUAGAGGAGGAGCCUAGAGGCUACGUUGGGAUAGGAAAAUGAAAACAGGGCUAAGGUUGAGAGUCCAGUUAAGACCAGAGCUCCUCGAGCAGUCGGGGCUCAGGUGCACACACAGCCUCUGUGCCGGGAUCCCCCACUUACCUUUCCCUGAGGGUUCAUUGAGGGGUGUGCAUGGUGUCCAGUUGGAGAUACCUACUGAGUUUCAUUUUUCCUUUGUCCGAGGCUCUGUCUUUCUGAGACAGAAAACAAAGAGACCCAAAACCCCUUAUGUGCAGGCCUUAAGAAGUGGGUCCCUACUCUUACCGACGGCACCCUUGCUUGGUGCCUCAGCUCCUGAUCACCUCAUGUGAUCGCCACAACUCUGUGUGCCUGGUUCUGAGAGCUGCUGCUAUUGUUCCGUUUUACAGAUGUGGACCGGUCACCGUGGGCCCAGGGCUGUGCAGCUUGUGCGUGUUGGAACCACGUCCUGACAUAAGUCAGUUGCCCAGGCUCUGUCCCUCCCGGAGGAAAGUACAAAGGGACAGCGUGCCACAAAAACAUCAGUACAGAACCAUCAGAACCGUCCCUGGCUGUGAAACGCGGGAAGGCCAUGCCAGCGCAUCCGAAGGGAAGAAUGCCAACAGCAAGGAUUCCUGCUGCCACAGAGAGUCGUGAGGCCUGAAUGGGUCCCCGUUGCAGGGUGUUCUACACAGGGCUGAUGGGACCUCACUCGGGCACCGGCAUGUGACCUCUCCAUGGCAGCCGGCUUCCAAGAGCGAGCAUCCCAAGAGAAGUGGGUAGAAGGUGCAUCACCUUUAUGACCCAGCACCAGAUCUGGGACAGAGUUACUUUGACCAUGGUCACAAGCCUGCUUCAACUCAAGGGAAAGAGAUCUAGUCCCCACUUCUUUUGGGAGGAGCAGAAAAAUCCUACUAUAAGAAGAGCGUGUAGGUGGGAGAUACUGUUGGGAAAACACAACCUGUAACUCCUUUCUCCUGCUCCCGGCCUCCCCUUUGUCUGACAGACCCAUCCUCUGUCCAUAGAGGAAGCCCAUGACCCAGGCUGGGCCAAGUGUAACUCACGGUCUCUCCAACCAUGGGGAUCGGGCCAGGAGUGGGCCCGUGACCCCAACCAGCGCAGCAGUAGCCAAGCCCACAGCCACAAACCCUGCCUCAGGAAUGGACGGCAUGGCAGAAAGACAGAUGAUGCCAUCCUGUUGCUGUCCACCCAGGACUCUUGUCUUCAGGGUCUUCUGAGGAAAAUGACAGCUUAGCUGGACAAGCCACAGGAGUGGGUUUCCUGUGACAGCCGAGCACAAUCCUAGUUUAUACUCGGAACAAACAGCCACUUUCACAUCCACUCCGUGUUCAUCACUGAAGCAAACACAAAGCCCAGGAUCACCGUGGAUGGCGACUCUAUUUGAAUAGCUAUUCAGAGAGGGACCACGUCUCUUUUGUUCAUCUUUCCAAGCACUGGACAUAAAAGACUCUCAAUAAACUUAUCUUGGAUGAAUGAGUGAGUGGAGCAGACUAGCAAAAGGCUCCGUGACAGUGGGUCCGGUGUCAGAUAAAUCUGGGUUCAAAGCCCACUCCCUCCUCUUACCACCUUUUGGAUCUUGGGCAGGUCCACUAACCUCCCCCCGCCUCAGUGCCUUAUCUGUCAAACGGUGAUACCGCGAUCAACCACCUGCGAGACUUGUGGUGAGGAUGAGCAGGUUGAACGGGGGUUCUCUCUGGCGUUGUUACUGACCUGUCAGGAGUGAGAGUGGCACUGGGGGCCGAAGAGGUGGAGAGUAAUGGGGAGAUGGCCCCACUUCCGUGCCCGAAGAGGUGGGAUCUGUUUUCAGCAUCUACACGUUCCUGAUCCUUGGGCAGGGCGGUUUGGGCUGGGCUCCACAGGUGAUCCUUCUGUGGGAUGGCGUGGGACCACUCACAUGGCUCUAGUGAUUUGGUGGUACACCGGGGCUGCAUGGUCAGAGGUGGCCACUGCCACCUGCCUGGUGGUUCAUGUAGCUUGCUUGGCUCUCUUCUGCUCCACGUGGCCUCAUCUUCCGUUGGCAGAUUGGGUCUCCUUGUGGCCAUCCGAGAGAGUGGGAGCGGGGCCUGCAGGGCCCCUCAAAACCGAGGUCAGAGGUCGCACAUCACUUCUGCCACACUGUGUGGGCCCAAGCCCUUUGCAGAUUUGCCAAGUCUCAUUGCAGAGGAGCAGGUCCAUAGGCCCGCGUGUUUCAGCUCCUUUUCCCAACCAUACCAUCUGCGUGAUGAUCUACCCCCCAAAUCUGCAGUUUUUACUCUGAAUCAUUUUCUACUGCUGUUGUCAGAGAUUUGCCACGAACCUCGUAUUAACACUCUGGAGGUCGGAAGCCUAAAAUGGUCUGCAGGUCUGCGUUUCUUCUGGAGGCUCUGGAGGUGAAUGUGUUCUCCUGCUUUUCCCAGUUUCUGGAGGUGCCAUGCUCCCUGGCCUGCGGCUCCUCCCUCCAUCUUCCCAGCCGGCAGCUCAGCGUCUUCACCCCCGUCUGACCCCCCUACCUGCCUCUCACGAGCACACUUGGGAUUGCAUUUAGGGCUCGCCUGAAUCGUCCAGAACAAUCCACUCGUCUCGACACCCUCCAUCUACACGGGUCCCUUUGCCAAGUGAGGUAAAUAUUCACAGGUUCCAGGGCCUUGGGACCUGGACAUCACUGGGGUGGUUAUUCUGCGUAGCACAGAUUCUCACAUGCUUUCUUUCUAAUUUGGUAGUUUCCAGACGUUUUCUAACAUAUUGCCAUAUGAGGUUAAAAAAAUAUAAGAGCAUGCCGUACUCUAUGUAAUUAAAAGCCUGGGCUCCUCAGCCCAACUCCGAGGCACAUCCCCUGCCGGCUGCCCUGGCCGCACUCCUCAAACUCCCCACGCCUCCGUUUCCCCACCUGCACGACGAGGGCCGCUCGCGUCCUGUGGGUGCCUUAACAAAACACCACACGCUGGGUGAUUUAAACAGCACACGCCAACCGUCCCACGGCUCUGGAGGCCAGUUGUGCGAGAUCAUGGUUUGCGGGGAGGACUCUGGCUCGCAGGCCGCCACCCUGCCAUUGCAUCCUCACACGAUGGAGGGAGCAGCGUGCUGUCUGACAUCUCUUCUUGUAAGGAUGCUCUCUCGGGUCAGGGCCCCCUUUGGAACGCCUUUCAUCUGCUAUCCUUGCUGCAAGUUCAGCCACAUUGGGGGUAAGACUUUGACGGGUGGAUGGGGGUGCCCAGUUCUGCCCACACCGGGAGCGAGAGCACCUCACCGAGUUGUAAGGGGCGAAUGAGUGUGCAUGUGAGCGGCUGGGGGCCGGGCUGUCACUGUUACUGCGCAGAAGGCCCGGAUCUGCACGCUGCUGUGGCUUUGUGCACGUUAGCAAACCUAACUGAGAAGCUGUGAAGGAUGAGAUGAAUUCAAGUGGAAAUUAUGACAGUUUCUUCCCGCGCUGCCAACCGAUUCUCUCGCAUCCAGCACUUCUGUUUAAAGAGGUGCUCCCCGCGUUCUCUGUGUCCGGUGAGGCUGGCCCUUAGACCCUCACUGCUGACGCCAGGUCUCCCUCACCGUGAGCGCAGCCGGUCAGCAGACACCAGCUCGGGAGGCCCGACUGCCUGAGAUCGGCGUUCAUUCCAGAAAUGUGGAAAACGCCGGCACUGGGCGGGGGACGCUGCGCCUGGGCUGAGGGUGGAUGCAGUGCCCUGAGACCUGCUUCCCGGUUCACUCGGCUGCUCCCGAAGCCCAAACCCCAGCCUCCAUGCAGUCAGGGAACACAAGUUCACAGUUGCCCUUUGCCCUCCAGAAUGCAUUUCCUACCAGCCCAGGGGCUGACGCAGGCGGAGAGAAGCCUUUUCCUAUCUGAUUUGCAUUUUCAUUGCUUGUGCUGAGUGCCCAGACUGAAACCACACUGGGCCUCCUGCCCUCUGACCUCCCAGGCACAACCCCCUGAAAGCCAGGAGAAAUGAAGAUUCCUGCCUCCCUUCCUGGCUCCUUUCGUUUUCUGCCCUUCAUUCUUUUUUUUUUUCAUGCUUCUGUUCAUCUGUGUUUUUUUUUUAAUUGAAAAAUUAAUGUAUGCAAAUGAUAAAACAAGACCCAAAUGCUACAGAGAGGUGUGCAAUGAAAAGUAAGUCCCCUUCUACCCCAAACCUUCAGGGUGCCAGACCCACCUUUCCAGAGCUAAGCAAGGUCAUCCGUUUCUUCUCAGAAAUAGUCUUUAUCCACGUGCAUGCGUGUAUGUGUAUCCGUGAACAUGUGUGCACAUACACAGCUGUGUGUUUGCAACAUGGCACGCACCUCUUCUUACACAAGCGGGGGCAUCCAUGUGCUUUGUUCUUGUUCCUUCGUUCAUCCCGGAGACUGUUCUGCCUCACCUCGGACAGACCCACCCCUUCUUUCUCUCUGACUGCGCACUGGUUGUUGGUACUCAGGCACCAGGAGGAAUGUAUCCACCCCUCGCUCCAGAGAGACAUGAGGCCGUUCCAGGUCUUCACUGUAGUAAACAGAGCUGCAUGGAACGGGGCUCCGGCACGCUUGUGGAAUGUGCCAUGUGCCAUGGACAGCAGGAACCUCAGAGGCAGAACUGCAUGGGGGACCCGCCGUCAUGCUCCCGCCCUAGGGGGUCAGCACGACGCCCUGCUGCCACACCACGCAGCUGGCCACGGGCCAGGGGGCCCUUCAGGUGUCCCACCGGGUACUCACUCUCACCAGAGAGCAAAGGCGUUCAAUCAGCUGGAUUUUCAAAUGACUUAACCACCAAAUCCACCUCCUCAGCCCUCGGUUUGUGAAUGUGAGUCCUUCCCUGGAGACACUAUUAGAAAGAAGAGGAAGAAGAAGAAGGAGAAGGAGAAGAAGGAGGGGGAGGAGAAGGAGAAGAGGAGGGCCGGUGGAGAAGAGCAUCCUCAGAACGUGGAAAGCAUUGCUUUGGGCACCAAGGGAGCCAGGCAGACUAGAACCCAGACCCGCAGACCCCGGUCCCUUCGCUCUGCCCGAGCUCCCCCAGCCCAACAGAGCAUUCAACAGGACUGUCCUUGCUGGCUCAGAAACAGCGAGACCCGCACCUGUGCUCCUUUGAGGCUUCCUUAGUCCCCAAGUCCCCAGAAGGGGUUUUGAACACCCACAUCGUCCCUGCCACCACACAGCCACUUCGGAGGUGAACAUCUCUGGGGUUCACAGACGAGAUGGAACCGCCCCAGAUACGGUCUCUGAAGCAGAAACCGCUGCAGGAUGGGGCUAGGCUGCCCCUGCCCGGCGGGACAGGACAGCGCUGUGACCUUGCUUCCCAAGCAUGGCCGUUUCCCGUGGACAGUGGCCCGGCCACCACGAACCGCCCUGCCGAGCCCACCCCGUUCACACCACAACGACCGAUCUAGAAAUUAUUUAUAGACCCAAAAUCCACAGAAACCGUUGUGUCUGCCGUUGCUAUGGCAACAGGGACGUGGAGUAAGCUUGGGCUUGAAGGGACCACGGAGGCCGGUGAAGGCGGCUGAUCUCCAGCCGGGAGCCCCCAGCUCCCACGCGCUAUCGGGGGUCACCAGAAUUGAAAGGAGGCUUUCAAUUGUGCUUCCAGUGAGGGCUGGCGCGUGUCCCGGAAAGCAGCACCACCGGGGUGUUAGUGGUUGGGUUUUGUUAAGCCUCUUGGUGAAAUCGUCCAGAACAAGGCCUCCGAGCCUGGCGGAGCAUCGGCCAGCCGUGGAGCCUUUCAAGAUUCUGGCUCCUCACCCCAGGCCAGCUGCAGCAGACUCCCAGGAGGAUGGGGCCCAGGAGUCUGUAUUUUACUUUUUGGAUUGGUGGAAACCCAUGGCACUCAGUGACCUAACCCCACAGAGAGCCACACACGUGCCCUUGCGUCCACUCACUGUCCUAGGCACUUUGGUUAGCGUCUCAAUUUCGGCUGGUUUUCUGGAUGAAGAUCAAACACAUACAAUGUAAGUUCUAUCCUU